rnacentral:rRNA from 1 species
UACGGAGGAUGCGAGCGUUAUCCGGAUUUAUUGGGUUUAAAGGGUGCGUAGGCGGCUUUUUAAGUCAGCGGUGAAAUUUUGCAGCUUAACUGUAACAGUGCCGUUGAUACUGGGGAGCUAGGAUUUGGUUGCUGUGGGUGGAAUGUGUGGUGUAGCGGUGAAAUGCUUAGAGAUCACACAGAAUAUCGAUUGCGAAGGCAGCUCAAAAAGCCAAGAUUGACGCUGAGGCACGAAAGUGUGGGGAUCAAACAUGGAUUA